AUUGAACGCUGGCGGCAUGCCUUACACAUGCAAAUCGAACGGUAACGGGCCUUCGGGUGCCGACGAGUGGCGAACGGGUGAGUAAUACAUCGGAACGUGCCCGAUCGUGGGGGAUAACGAGGCGAAAGCUUUGCUAAUACCGCAUACGAUCUACGGAUGAAAGCAGGGGACCGCAAGGCCUUGCGCGGACGGAGCGGCCGAUGGCAGAUUAGGUAGUUGGUGGGAUAAAAGCUUACCAAGCCGACGAUCUGUAGCUGGUCUGAGAGGAUGAUCAGCCACACUGGGACUGAGACACGGCCCAGACUCCUACGGGAGGCAGCAGUGGGGAAUUUUGGACAAUGGGCGCAAGCCUGAUCCAGCCAUGCCGCGUGCAGGAUGAAGGCCUUCUGGUUGUAAACUGAUUUUGUACGGAACGAAAAGCCUUCUUUUAAUACAGGAGGGUCAUGACGGUACCGUAAGAAUAAGCACCGGCUAACUACGUG
rnacentral:rRNA from 1 species